GUCAACUUAAGGAGUGAUGUCAUCUAGUUGCUUGUCCACGGGAUCCAGAAAAAAAGCCUAAAUACAACAAGUUUUUAAAAUUAAAAGCUCGAUUUUAUCUCGCUUUAUACUGGAUCCCGUGGACAAGCAACUAGAUGACACCGAACACAUUUUUCGAU
rnacentral:ncRNA from 1 species